GAUGAACGCUAGCUACAGGCUUAACACAUGCAAGUCGAGGGGUAGCAGGGUAGCAAUACCGCUGACGACCGGCGCACGGGUGAGUAACACGUAUCCAACCUUCCCAUCACUCGGGGAUAGCCUUUCGAAAGAAAGAUUAAUACCCGAUAGUACUUUUUUGAGGCAUCUUAAGAAAGUUAAAGAUUUAUUGGUGAUGGAUGGGGAUGCGUUCCAUUAGAUUGUUGGUGAGGUAACGGCUCACCAAGUCUUCGAUGGAUAGGGGUUCUGAGAGGAAGGUCCCCCACAUUGGUACUGAGACACGGACCAAACUCCUACGGGAGGCAGCAGUGAGGAAUAUUGGUCAAUGGGCGAGAGCCUGAACCAGCCAAGUAGCGUGAAGGAUGAAGGUCCUAUGGAUUGUAAACUUCUUUUAUAGUAGAAUAAAGUGAUCCAGUGUGGUAUUUUGUAUGUAUACUAUGAAUAAGGAUCGGACUAACUCCGUGCCAGCAGCCGGGUAAUAGUGU
rnacentral:rRNA from 1 species